AUGCCUCUGUUUCAGGACAACCGUCAAUGCUCAACCACUGAGCCAUGCCGGCUGGGUGAAGCAAUUCUUGACAAUAGGGCACGGGGUGAUUUCUAGCAUCUAAUGUAGAAGAUUUACAAGAACUG